UACGGAGGAUCCAAGCGUUAUCCGGAAUCAUUGGGUUUAAAGGGUCCGUAGGCGGCCCGGUAAGUCAGUGGUGAAAUCUCCCCGCUCAACGGGGAAACUGCCAUUGAUACUGCCGGGCUUGAAUUAUUGGGAAGUAACUAGAAUAUGUAGUGUAGCGGUGAAAUGCUUAGAGAUUACAUGGAAUACCGAUUGCGAAGGCAGGUUACUACCAAUAUAUUGACGCUGAUGGACGAAAGCGUGGGUAGCGAACAGG
rnacentral:rRNA from 1 species